GUGACCCCCAGGUCAGCCAAUCAAGACGCGGAACCUUAGGUAAGGCCCGCCCCCUGGCGGUCCUCGGGUUCCUUCCCGCUCACGCCGGAGUCACUUCCGAAGAGAGAACCGCCAUGAAGAGAGUAGGGGGUGCCGCCCACCUCUGCACCGACAGCCUCCCCGAGUCCCAGCAGCAAGACGGCAACCACGCAACCAGCUUCUCCAUUCACAGCUCAUGCCGCCGUCGCCAGCGGCGCCGACAUGACAAGGCGCUGCAUGCCCGCUAGGCCAGGUUUCCCCUCAUCCCCAGCCCCGGGGUCGUCGCCCCCGCGCUGCCAUCUGAGACCCGGUAGUACCGCCCCUGCUGCAGCGGGAAAAAGAACAGAAAGUCCUGGGGACAGGAAACAAUCAAUCAUAGAUUUCUUCAAGCCAGCUUCAAAACAAGACAAACAUAUGUUGGAUUCUCAACAAAAAUCAAACAUCAAAUAUGGAGGAAAUGGAGUAUCCAUCAAUGAGACAGAACAAUUUGAAAGGAAAUUAUCAUCACCAAAAAAACCCAAACCCAAAAGAAUGUCAUCAGAAGAAAGUCCUAUUUUAGAAGCUUUCAUGAAAGGUGGUAAAGAGCACCACAAAGAUCAUGGUGUACAUGAGUCACGUCAGCCUUGUAUGUCAGUAGGCUCCAAAUACUUACUAAAAGGAGCAGGUGUGUAUGCUCCUUCCUCUUAUCGAUUGUCCAAAGAGAUGAAGGCACGAAAGAAAAAACACCGGUCUCCAGAGAGAAGGAAGUCACUGUUCAUUCAUGAAAGUAACAGGGAGAAGAAUGAGAGAGAUCAAGGAAAGACCAAUGAAGACUCCAGAAAGCAGGCCCAAGAGACAGAAGGUGACAUCUUCAAGAACAGCUCCAGAAGUGUUAGCAGCAGAAGCAGUCUGUCCCGGCACCACCCAGGAGAAAGCCCCCUGGGAGCUCGGUUCCAGUUGUCAUUAGCUUCUUACUGCCGAGAACGAGAGCAGAAGAAGUUGAGAAAGGAACAAAUGGAGCAGAGAAUCAACUCGGAAAAUUCUUUCUCAGAAACAUCCUUAAAAUCCUCUAGCAUAGGGAAAAAAUGUAAGCCAAGGCAUGAGCACAGCAAACAGAAUGAUGCUGUACCUGGGAAGAGCAACCUGUCAAAUCUGGAAAACGGACAUCUCUCAAGAAAAAGAUCAUCUUCAGACUCAUGGGAACUUUCAGGCUCUAAGCAGAAUAAACUCUCCGACAAAAGAAAAAGGAAUUCUGUGGACUCAGAUCUGAAAAGCACAAAAGAGUCUAUCAUACCAAAAGCAAAAGAGUCCUUCCUAGAGAAGCGUCCAGACACAUCACAUCAGAAGGAAAAGUUUAUAAGACACAUUGCACUGAAGACACCGGGUGGUGUUCUGCGCUUGGAAGAUAUAGCCAAGGAACCUGAUGAUGAAACAGAGCGUUCUUCUGCAGACUUGGCACCUUCAAAUUCUGGCCACCAUUCUUCCAGGAAUAGUGACCAAGUCCACGCAGCAAGUACCAAAGAGACUAAAAUACAGAAGCCCCACUUACCUUUACCUCAGGAAAAAUCUGCAAUUAAAAGAGCUAGCAACCUUCAGAAAAGUAAAAUAGCUGGCUCUGUGCCAUCAAAAGAGACAAAACUACCUUUACUUUCCCAUGUUCCAAGUGCUGUUUCCUCUCGAGUACCGUUAAAUGCUAAAAAUUGCACUCUUCCAGUUCCUAAAAAAGAUAAAGAGCGUUCCUCCUCUAAAGAACAUUCUGGGCAUUCUGCAGAAUCCUCCAAACACAAGGAACACAAAGCAAAGACUAUUAAGGCUGUUUCUAAUGAAUCUUCAGGGAAAAGUUCUGGGGGAUCUUUGCAUUCAGAGUACAGCCCUCCUACAGAGUCUCCCCCAGCUGCCUUGGAAGUUGUGCCGCGUGUCCCAAGCCCUGCAGCACCUUCAGAUAAAGAGAGUUCAGGAAAUUCUAAUGCAGGUAGCAGUGCACUGACAAGGAAAUUCAGGGGUGAUUUUGAUAGUGAUGAAGAAAGUUUAGGUUACAACUUAGAGAGCGAUGAGGAAGAAGAAACAUUAAAAUCGCUGGAAGAAAUAAUGGCUUUGAACUUCAACCAGACUCCGCCAGCUUCAAGAAAGCCUCCUGCCUUUUCCAAAGGCCUCAGGUCCCAGUCAUCAGACUACAUAGAAUAUUCUCAGAGUGGAACUUAUACAAAUACUUUAGAGCGUCUUGUAAAGGAGAUGGAAGACACACAAAGGUUAGAUGAACUGCAGAAGCAGCUACAGGAAGACAUAAGACAAGGCCGGGGCAUUAAAUCUCCUAUCAGAAUUGGUGACCAGGACAGUACAGAUGAUGAGGAUGGCCUCUUGGAAGAACACAGGGAAUUUCUAAAGAAAUUUUCAGUUACAAUUGAUGCUAUUCCUGAUCAUCAUCCAGGUGAAGAAAUAUUUAAUUUUCUCAAUUCUGGAAAAAUUUUCAAUCAGUAUACCUUAGAUUUAAGAGACUCUGGUUUUAUCGGAGAAAGUGCUGUGGAAAAGCUUAUUCUCAAAUCAGGAAAAACAGAUCAGAUUUUUUUGACAACACAAGGCUUCCUUACCUCUGCAUACCACUAUGUCCAGUGUCCUGUACCUGUGUUAAAGUGGCUGUUUCGGAUGAUGUCAGUUCACACAAAUUGUAUUGUGUCGGUACAGAUUUUAAGUACAUUGAUGGAAAUAACCAUUAGAAAUGAUACUUUCAGUGACUCACCAGUUUGGCCCUGGAUCCCAUCGUUGUCUGACAUAGCAGCUGUGUUUUUAAACAUGGGCAUUGCCUUUGGAUCUUUGUUUCCUCUGGAGACUCUUCAGCCAGAUUUUAAUGAAGACAAUCUAAUUUUUGAAACACAGAAAACUCUGGGGGGAAGAGGAAGCGAAGAUUCAUCUUGUAAUCCCAUUUUUUCAACACUUCCUGAAACCAACAUUUUAAAUGUAGUUAAGUUUCUAGGCUUGUGUACAUCUAUACAUCCAGAAGGUUACCAAGAUCGAGAAAUAAUGUUGUUGAUUUUAAUGCUAUUUAAAAUGAGUCUGGAAAAAGAACUGAAACAGAUUCCAUUAGUAGACUUUCAAAGCCUCCUGAUAAAUCUCAUGAAAAACAUCAGAGAUUGGAACACAAAGGUGCAUGAACUCUGUGUGGGCAUAAAUGAACUAUCUAGUCAUCCGCACAACCUUCUGUGGUUGGUGCAACUGGUCCCUAACUGGACGUCUCGUGGAAGGCAACUGAGGCAGUGCCUCAGUCUAGUGAUUAUUUCAAAGCUUUUGGAUGAAAAACACGAAGAUAUCCCUAAUGCCAAUAAUCUUCAGAUCUCGGUCCUACAUCGCUAUCUAGUGCAGAUGAAGCCUUCUGAUUUGUUGAAGAAAAUGGUCUUAAAGAAAAGGGCUGAACAACCAAAUGGAACAAUUGAUGACAGUCUUCAUUUAGAACUUGAAAAGCAGGCAUAUUACCUGACCUAUGUUCUACUUCAUUUAGUUGGGGAAGUUAGUUGUUCUCAUUCUUUUUCUUCUGGACAACGGAGACAUUUCGUGCUGCUUUGUGGGGCUUUGGAAAAGCAUGUUAAGUGUGAUAUUAGGGAAGAUGCACGGCUUUUCUACAGAACUAAAUUUUUUGAAGCAGGAUCUCACACACAGUUCAGACUGGCCUUGGACUUUGAGCAGUCCCCCGAGUGCUGGGAGUGCAGCCAUGCACCUCCAUAGCAGCAACUAUGAGGUGAAAGACUUGGUUGCCAGGAUACAUGGAAAAUGGCAGGAAAUAAUCCAGAACUGUCGGCCUACUCAGGGGCAGCUUCAUGACUUCUGGGUGCCAGAUUCUUAACAGGAGUAGAGCAGCAGAAAUACAAAGCGGGAAGGACCUUUCCAAGAGGGUUACUGUGGGAUCCAGCAGAUGCUAUGGAACACAACUGUGUGAUGAGGCUGGCAAUGAAGACUUCACCGUGUCUGAAGCAGAUAUGAAAUGCCAUCUGCAGCUUGACCUUAGAGGAAAGAACGGGAGCCUUUAAGAGAAGGGUAGGGGUAGACACAGCUGGUAGAAGAACCCAGCCUGCUCCUCCUAGCGCCCCUUGUUAAGUUUUCAGCGAUUAUCUUGGUAGGUGACUUCAUAGCACUUGGACCAUCACAGAAAAUAAAGAGGAAAAGUAUGGGCCAACUUGAGGAGUUGGACAUUGAAACGAAGGCCGGGGUCCAGCUGGUUUUCAUUUUCCUCUUGGUUAUUUUAGGGCACAAAGGGAAAGCCUAGAAUAGAGUUCUGUAGUUAGGAGUCAGGGUCUGUAAACCAUAGGCAGUUUCAGUUCAUACACUGUCCCUUUACUAUCAAAAUUAUAGAUCUGAAGUCUUGAAGUCUGUUUAAAGUCAGUUAAGGAACAGACAUGCUGUCAGAUUGCCUAGAGGAAGAGAUUAAGCUACAAAAUAGUGGCCGUUUUUAAAAUGCCAGAACCUUCAUAGGCAGUUUGUUUAGGAUUUCUUGUAAAUGCAUAUAUUUUUAAAAUCUGAUUCAAUCAUAAAAUCUUAGCUAAGUCAGAAUUCUGUCCAUUGGUAACUAUAUUACAGAAGUCUCUAUAUAAAGGCUUAAAAAAAAUCUGGAAGUUUCCAAAAACCUUUUUCCCACGAGUAUAUAAUUUAGCAGAGACCUUGAUGAUGUUUAUUUUGGGGACACUGUGUGUGUGUGUGUGUGUGUGUGUGUGUGUGUGUGUGUGUGUGUGUGUUCACCCGAGCGUUUGUAUCUUGAAGUUGUUGCACUUGAAAACCACAGCUGCUCUAAAUUCUUUUAAACACUGGAAAGCCAUCCUCUAGUUUAGAUGGUAGAGGGUUAGCAGAGGUGCACACGCUAGAUUGAGCCUAGGCUCUUUGAAACCUUUGGUAGUAACACUCUCGCAGACCUUUGCCUGUCUGGGGAGGGGUUGCUUCCUGAAAUGGAUGCCAGCUGCUUGUUUGAAAACUGGCAUGAGUGACUUGUUCCCUCCUGAGCAUGAUGAUGUCCAGAUGGGGGUUAGAAAGGGAACUGGGCUCAAUGUUUAUGGUUUGAGAGGAGAAAAUAAGUUCUGAGAGCUAACUUUCUACCUCUAAAUUGAGGCUUAGGAAUAAAAACCAUUCUUAUCAUAAAAUUAUCAUUUAAAAUAGCAGUAGCUUUUGAGCUCAUGUCAAGCAUUGGGCAGUUAGAGAUCUUACAGGGAAUAAACAAAUCAAAUUUUCAAGUUCUGAGGCUGAUCAAGGCUCCAAGAGUCCGACCAACAAAAGUUUUCUUCAGUGUUGAGUUUACUGGUAAGAAUAGUAUCUUGAUGCUACCUCUCAAGGGUAUUGUUACAAAAUGCCACUAUGGUUAAAGAGAUAGAUACAAAGAGUUGUAUUUGACAGAAGCUUGAAACUCUGGCAUCUAUCUGCCCAACAAUGGGGGCUUUCACUCUGUAAUUUAAUACCUUGUAGAUACAUUAUUUGUGUGUAAUUUUAUAAGUGUUCAUAUUUUUCUCAUUUUGCAUUGUGUAAAGUGUACAAAAAUCUCAAAAUAUAAAAAUCUGCUUAUAUUGCUUGUAAUUACAGUGUGUAAAUAUUUUCUAUUGUGUACAUUGACGGGGACAAGUGGGUUAUUCAGGUUUUUAAGUGACCCUUUUAUAUUGCAAUUUCAACUGAUAACCACCCAUCAAAUUUAAAACCACUUUGAUACAUUCUUAUUUAGCAGUUCCAAUAAGAGUAAAAUCUAUUUUCAAUUGUCUUUCUCCAUGAGAGAAAAAUACUUUGUCCUUCCCUUUAAAAUAAAUGGCCAGACAUCAGUUUAGGCCCUUGUAUUCAUGACUCUGGUAGCAGCCUUCAGUCUCCGGGUCAUAGUAUAGUCAGUAUUUGCAUUUGGGUUCUCAUAGAAAUUUAUGAUUCUACUUAGCAGAAGUAGUUCAUGGUUUUUCUCCCAAAUCAAGUAUUUUCCAUCUCCUUCUGAGUCCCCGUGCUUUGUCUCCCUCCAGCUGUUGUUGCCCAGAUGAUGGGAUGGUAGAGAGGGAGAAAAUGCUCAUUGCACAAAGACUGUCAGGCCACAUUUGGUACUUGGCAAACAAAGCUUGCACUGAGUGGUGGUGUGUUUGGCAAUCUUACUGUGCCAAAAAUCACCUUGUCUAAUUUUCUUGUUGUGUAUGUCAAACUUAUUACCCCUACUGCAAGCUGAAAAUUAAAGUCCUUGUGUUGAUGCUU